UUUGCAUUUGGUUGAUAUUGUUACAAAGUUCAGCUGGAAGUUUUCUUCUCCCUGUGGUCUUUCUUCAAUUCCACUGGCAGCUCUCCUCAAGGACUCCUGUAAGACAAAGUCAUAAAUGGCAUACCUGGGGACCAAGAGUGCCCACAGUCUCUUCCCGCUGCUUCCUCUACCCCAUAUUUUGCUUGGCUCUCUAAAUUCAUCUCAGCUUCAGGUGAGAAUCUUCAAGAACAAGAACCUUUAGGUGCCUUUGUAUAAUAUUCGUCACAAUAGCAAAGACUUGGAACCAACCCAAAUGUCCAACAAUGAUAGACUGGAUUAAGAAAAUGUGGCACAUAUAUGCCAUGGAAUACUAUGCAGCCAUGAAAAAUGAUGAGUUCGUGUCCUCUGUAGGGACAUGGAUGAAACUGGAAACCAUCAUUCUCAGCAAACUAUCGCAAGGACAAAAAAACAAACACCGC
rnacentral:lncRNA from 1 species